AGCGGAACAGGGUAAGGCUGGCUCCCAGAGUCGAGGAUUGGAGUGACCUAGCAGAUCACUGGUCCAGAUAACACUAGGGGAAGGUCACACUGUCUCAAAUUGGUUUUUAGCUGAAGUCAGUACUCAGAAAUGACAUCACUUGCUUCUUGAUGGUUAUAAAAAGUAAACUCUGUUAGAGUUCAUUGCUCAUACCUGCCUGACCACAUUGGAGCGAAUCAACAUAGGUUUAAUCACCCCUGGGAUUAGUCUGUUUGUAAGUAUCUUGAUCAAAUGCUUAUAAAUGUUUUGUUACUUUUCAGAUGUAGUAAAUUGCUUAUUUCUGAGGCUUUUAGGCGUGUUUAGAGCAACUAUAUUAGUACACUGGGAAUUAAUAAAGGAAUUUAUGGUUAAAUUAGUCUUUGGUUUCCCAUAUUAAUAAUUUCAAAUAUUAUUAAUAAUUCCAACACAUAGCAGAAGGGCAGGAGCUGGACUCCCAGGGGGGGAGUCUGAGAGGCAUUGAAGUGAGAGGGAUGUAAAGGCAGGUCCAAGGGAGUCAGAAGUGGGCUUUUGUUUAUACUUUUAAGCUGGGAUUUUGUUAGUGGAUUCCAGGGGUGGGUCUUGAGAGUCCCAACCCUGAGAGAAGAGAGAGUUUAAAGAGGCUGUGAGGGGAAGGACUGAGUAGGAAGAAACCCAGGGAAGCAGCAGCAAGGAGUUGGACUGAGCAUUACUUUGCUGCUGGUAUAAGGUCACUGGGCUGAAACCUGGUUGUAGUGAGAGGGCCUGGGUUUCCCUACCAGCAGUGGUAUGGUGGUGUGAGGCUGGAGAAGGGCACAAGAAUGACAGCCCUCAGAAGAGAGAGUCAGGACCAUGGGGCCCAGAGGCAUGGCCAAAGAUCUGAUAGAAGGUAUUAGACAUUGUUUCUUUGGAAUUCUUCUUGCCCUGAAAAGAGCGGAUUAAAUUGUGACCUGGCCAGAGUGCCAACUCAUAGGAAGAUGGACCACUGGAAGACCAGAGCAGCCAUCAGAAUGGGGUGCUGCUGGAAGGGAAGAGAGUUGCUACACCACCUCUGGCCAUCAGGAGGCACUGCGGCAAUUAGGGACUAUUGUGAGGAACUCCAAAGGGACCUACUAAAUCAGGUGAAUGGGCAGCAUGAUGGCAGAUGUCAUUCAGUAUUCACAAAUGGAAGAUGAGCUGUAAGAUGAGCUGUUUCCCUAAUUGCAAUACAUUGACUCUACCAUUCGGAGGAGCCUGUGCCACAGAAUGAUAAACUGAAGUUAUCAGGCAAAGAGGAGUCUUCACUUGUGAAACAGUCGGAACACAGCCCAGAGGUCCUUGGUCAGUUCAGGUCAUGACAAACUGCAGGUUGUACUUGGUGGAAACCCCACUGCUACCUUGCACACUACUGUGGAUGUCUCCAAGGAGCCCAAGCCACGGGUCCCUGCCAUGAACUGGAAGGAGGAGGAGCAGGAGAAAGGUGACAUGCAAGGGAGUCCACCUAUGCCAGGACCUGCCUGAGACUCCUGCAUGGUCUAGCCAGUCCUGCCAGCUGAGCAUGGACUAGCCUGUUGAAGGGGAAGGGACCUCAGCUGCUGCCACUGCAGCCUUGAGGGGGUUCCCCUUCUACACCUGUGGAACACCUGAGCCAGAUAAGGAGGAGAAAGAAGAGGACUUGGAAAGACCUGUUCAGUGAGAUCCCCUGCUGCUUCAGACUGUGAACAAAGGGUCUGGAGGAUGAACAUUGCAGACAGCCUGAGGGAGGAAGAUGUGGACAGGUGAAAGGUUCAGGAGUCUCAGUAGAAAAGGGAGAUGCACCAGGAUGUAAUGGGCCUUUUCUGGCAGCAAACAUAAAUGCUGCAGUCUGUUGUGGACCUACAGGGUCACCUCCCUUUGCAGUCCAUGGAGAACUCCAUUAUAGCACCUCCUUGCAUCCUCACCUCAACAUUGCAUGUUGUAUCAGUGGCUGCAUCCCUACACCCGCCACUCCAUCUCUCAGGAUAUUAAGGACAACCACAGCUUCACAUACACUGAGCUGGGAAAGCCAUGGUUGCUGUACGUGUAGGUAAAGUUGACAUAAAUGUUUUUUCCCUUGUUAAGUUCUGUUCCAUUAAUUUUAUUUAUUUUUUUAUGUAUUUACUUUUGAAUUGAACAGUUUUUUCUUUCCACUGGUUUUGUUACUGAAUAAAAUUCUAUUCUUUAGAAAAUAAUUCAUCUUUAUAAGUUUACAACUUACACUGCAGAGUGCCUAGUAGUUCUGAAAGCACCCACUUCCUUGUUACUGUACAGAGUGACACAGCUCAGAGGAUCAUUGACAAUACAAUGUAAUAAUCAUAAAUGUACAGCAAGCACUGCAAAACUAAUAGGUGCAGUGACAGUGAUAUCAUAGGUGUACACUAAGAACCACACAAUUCCUAAUAGGCCCUGGAACAGCAGGGCCAGGGAGAGCACAGUACUCCACAGUGCGUUUUUCCAGCUCACUGUUACAGUGCUCUUUCAAAGCCUCCCUGAUAUGGCAGUAAUGCACUUUGUGGAGGGUGUGCUGCAGCUGAAGAGAACAUGCAUCUGGGCUCUUUAGAAGCAGACCUGUGCACUGAAGCUGCUAGUUCUGGUCUAGGCACUAGGCUUGUGCCCAGAAUUAUGCCAUCUGCUUGGAAUCUCUGGAAGGUGAGCUGCACCUGAAGUCUGAUGUGAUGUUCCAGUCAAGUCUGAGACAAAAAUUCAUGGCACACUAUGUGUUGUAUCCCAGGCAAAUCAAACAUCUGAAAUGGACAUCAGAAUCAGGAAUAGUGCAGCACAUGAAUCACAUUUUUUGAACCUCUUCUUGCUGUAAGAGCCAGGCAUGAUUCCCACCUGGCCCAAAAAAGGUGCUGCAUGGAGGCCCUCAAAGAGGAAUGUUAU